rnacentral:tRNA from 1 species
GAGGGUAUAGCUCAGUGGUAGAGCGCGUGCUUAGCAUGCACGAGGUCCUGGGUUCAAUCCCCAGUACUUCCA